AUAAAUACAAUAAUCAAAUGGAACGGGAUUUUAACGUAGUGCGCAAUUUGGAAGUGAUAAGAGUGAUUUAUUUUUCAACUUGUCCAUCUCCGUAGUAUACGUUUAGUUGUGAGAUGUUCACAGUUUUCCCCCAAAAACAGGCCUUCACGUGCGAAGUCAAAGUGGGUGGGGAACGUGUAUUUCGAGUCGCUGGAACUUCAUAAUGAAGCUGCUUUUGUGCAAUAUUCAGCGACGUUACCAGCUGUGUGUUAGACGAAACGAAAAUGCUUUGGUUUUGCAUCGUGUUUUGAGACUGUCAGGGUGACAUGAUGGAUUAAUUGCUGUUUGAGUGACAAUAAAUGAACAUGUUUGUGUUUGGAGAUUGCUGAGGUUAAUAUCUUUACAAUUGGGAAAUCCCAACAUAAGUUGACUGCCAGUUUGACAACUGAUCUGCAUAAUAUCAGUGGGAGAGCAUGCUGAAUCCCGCAGCUUCUGCACCAUAUGUUUCCUGGCCGAGUGGUUGAAAGUUGCGACCACACAUUCCAUGGGUGAUAUCUACCAAAUUUCUUGGCGGCACAGUUCUACCCUCGUCAGUUGCACUUGUCCGAGUCUUUCUCUGCCUCUCAACCAACUCGAGAUAUUCCCCCCCCCCAACUGCAUCCCGGCACAGCUUCACAUCAACCCAUCUAAUUAAUUUGUCGGAAAGGUUGACCACACAAAUUUCCUGUUUGGUUGUGGAGUUAGAAUCAUUUUUUUUUGUGAAAGUUUGAUUUCAGACACUUAAAAAUUGAAAUUGUCAUGUAUUAUUAG